ACCUGCCGCCGUGAAGCCCUUGGCCAGGGCAAAGGCCAGCUGGCCCGCCCCGAUGAAGCCCACGCUCAUGGCCCCGGCCUCCGUGCCCGCG